rnacentral:rRNA from 1 species
UGGGGAAUAUUGCACAAUGGGCGCAAGCCUGAUGCAGCCAUGCCGCGUGUAUGAAGAAGGCCUUCGGGUUGUAAAGUACUUUCAGCGAGGAGGAAGGCGUUGUGGUUAAUAACCUUGUCGAUUGACGUUACCCGCAGAAGAAGCACCGGCUAACUCCGUGCCAGCAGCCGCGGUAAUACGGAGGGUGCAAGCGUUAAUCGGAAUUACUGGGCGUAAAGCGCACGCAGGCGGUCUGUCAAGUCGGAUGUGAAAUCCCCGGGCUCAACCUGGGAACUGCAUUCGAAACUGGCAGUCUAGAGUCUUGUAGAGGGGGGUAGAAUUCCAGGUGUAGCGGUGAAAUGCGUAGAGAUCUGGAGGAAUACCGGUGGCGAAGGCGGCCCCCUGGACAAAGACUGACGCUCAGGUGCGAAAGCGUGGGGAGCAAACA